UCGCUUUGGCAGCAAGUGUACUAGAAUUGGAACAAUACAGAGAAGAUAAGCAUGGCCUCUCCGCAAGGCUGACACAUAAAUUUAUGAAAAAAUUAUGGAAAAAUUCCAUAAUUUU
rnacentral:snRNA from 1 species